rnacentral:rRNA from 1 species
AGGGAAUCUUCCACAAUGGACGCAAGUCUGAUGGAGCAACGCCGCGUGAGUGAAGAAGGCUUUCGGGUCGUAAAACUCUAGUUGUUGGAGAAGAAUGGUCGGCAGAGUAACUGUUGUCGGCGUGACGGUAUCCAACCAGAAGCCACGGCUAACUACGUGCCAGCAGCCGCGGUAAU